AAUAUUAUAUGGAUACAUAAUGAUUGUAGUAUACUAUAAUAGUUGAAAAAAAAUGACUCAACAUUAAAAUGUCUUUUAAAGGAGAAAAAAGGGUAGCAAUUACUAUAAUUAUAUGUAGAUCAAGGAGAUAUAGAAGAAUCAAGAAGAUAUAGAAAUUUUAAAAUAACAUGAAAAUGAAAUAUAUGGUAAUGGAGAGAUGAGGAAAUAGUAUAUUUAUAAAUGUAUUAGAAUGGAGCAUAAUAUAAUAAUUGGAUUAUAAUAAAUAUGAAAUGAUAAAGUGAUACUAUGAAACAGUUAUAUUUUUAACUAUGUAAAAAUGGAUUUAUUUCGAGUGGUAAGAAAAAACAAUGAUGUAAAAUUUGUAGAAUAUUUAAUUUUAACAGAAUAAUUAUAAUGACUACAUUUAUUAUCUAUUAUAUGUGAAAAGGAAAUGUAAUAAAAA